rnacentral:rRNA from 1 species
CGGCAAGCCUGAUGCAGCAACGCCGCGUGCGGGAUGACGGCCUUCGGGUUGUAAACCGCUUUUAGUAAGGAAGAAGGGGAGCUUGCUCCUUGACGGUACUUGCAGAAAAAGGACCGGCUAACUACGUGCCAGCAGCCGCGGUAAUACGUAGGGUCCGAGCGUUGUCCGGAAUUAUUGGGCGUAAAGAGCUCGUAGGCGGUUUGUCGCGUCUGCUGUGAAAUCCCGAGGCUCAACCUCGGGCCUGCAGUGGGUACGGGCAGACUUGAGUGGUGUAGGGGAGACUGGAAUUCCUGGUGUAGCGGUGGAAUGCGCAGAUAUCAGGAGGAACACCGAUGGCGAAGGCAGGUCUCUGGGCACUUACUGACGCUGAGGAGCGAAAGCGUGGGGAGCGAACAGGAUUAGAUACCCUGGUAGUCCACGCCGUAAACGUUGGGCGCUAGAUGUGGGGACCUUUCCACGGUUUCCGUGUCGUAGCUAACGCAUUAAGCGCCCCGCCUGGGGAGUACGGCCGCAAGGCUA